AACGAACGCUGGCGGCAUGCUUUACACAUGCAAGUCGAACGGUAACAGCCCGCAAGGUGCUGACGAGUGGCGAACGGGUGAGUAAUGCAGCGGCACGUACACAGUCGUGGGGGAUAACGCAGCGAAAGCCGGGCUAAUACCGCAUACGAUCUGUGGAUGAAAGCGGGGGACCGUAAGGCCUCGCGCGCUUGGAGCGGCCGAUGUCAGAUUAGGUAGUUGGUGGGGUAAAGGCCUACCAAGCCGACGAUGUGUAGCUGGUCUGAGAGGACGACCAGCCACACUGGGACUGAGACACGGCCCAGACUCCUACGGGAGGCAGCAGUGGGGAAUUUUGGACAAUGGGCGCAAGCCUGAUCCAGCAGUGCCGCGGGCAGGAAGAAGGCAUUCGGGUUGUAACCUGCUUUUGUACGGAACGAAACGGUCUGGGUUAAUACCCUGGGCUAAUGACGGUACCGUAAGAAUAAGCACCGGCUAACUACGUGCCAGCCGCCGCGGUAACAC
rnacentral:rRNA from 1 species